GAUGAACGCUGGCGGCGUGCCUAAUACAUGCAAGUCGAGCGAACAGACGAGGAGCUUGCUCCUUCGACGUUAGCGGCGGACGGGUGAGUAACACGUAGGUAACCUACCUAUAAGACUGGGAUAACUUCGGGAAACCGGAGCUAAUACCGGAUAAUAUUUCGAACCGCAUGGUUCGAUAGUGAAAGAUGGCUUUGCUAUCACUUAUAGAUGGACCUGCGCCGUAUUAGCUAGUUGGUAAGGUAACGGCUUACCAAGGCAACGAUACGUAGCCGACAUGAGAGGGUGAUUGGCCACACUGGAACUGAGACACGGUCCAGACUCCUACGGGAGGCAGCAGCAGGGAAUCUUACGCAAUGGGGGAAAGCCUGACGGAGCACCGCCGCGUGAGUGAUGAAGGUCUUCGGAUCGUAAAACUCUGUUAUUAGGGAAGAACAAACGUGUAAGUAACUGUGCACGUCUUGACGGUACCUAAUCAGAAAGCCACGGCUAACUACGUG
rnacentral:rRNA from 1 species